UACGUAGGGGGCAAGCGUUGUCCGGAAUCAUUGGGCGUAAAGCGCGCGUAGGCGGCCCGGUAAGUCCGCUCUGAAAGUCCAGGGCUUAACCCUGGAAAGCGGGUGGAUACUGCCGGGCUUGAAUCCGGAAGAGGCGAGUGGAAUUCCUGGUGUAGCGGUGGAAUGCGCAGAUAUCAGGAGGAGCACCAAUAGCGAAGGCAGCUCGCUGGGACGGUAUUGACGCUAAGGCGCGAAAGCGUGGGGAGCAAACAGG
rnacentral:rRNA from 1 species